CCUACGGGAGGCAGCAGUGAGGAAUAUUGGUCAAUGGACGAGAGUCUGAAGCAGCCAAGUAGCGUGAAGGAUGACUGCCCUCUGGGUUGUAAGCUUCUUUUAUAAAGGAGUAAAACGCGGCACGUGUGCCUUUAUGCAUGUACUUUAUGAAUAAGGAUCGGCUAACUCCGUGCCAGCAGCCGCGGUAAUACGGAGGAUCCGAGCGUUAUCCGGAUUUAUUGGGUUUAAAGGGAGCGUAGAUGGGUUGUUAAGUCAGUUGUGAAAGUUUGCGGCUCAACCGUAAAAUUGCAAUUGAUACUGGCAGUCUAGAGUACAGUUGAGGUAGGCGGAAUUCGUGGUGUAGCGGUGAAAUGCUUAGAUAUCACGAAGAACCCCGAUUGCGAAGGCAGCUUACUAAACUGUGACUGACAUUGAUGCUCGAAAGUGUGGGGAUCAAACAGGAUUAGAUACCCGAGUAGUC
rnacentral:rRNA from 1 species